rnacentral:ncRNA from 1 species
UUCUUAUUCAGAGAGGUGGAGGGACUUGGCCCUGCGAUACCUCGGCAACGGACUUUUUAAGUGCUGUGCUAAAUCCAACAAGCGUCAGCUUGAAAAAUAAGAA